CAACUCCAACAUUAGAAUUUUUAUGAAAACAAAACAUUGAAAUUAAAGGUUGAAUUUCUUGUGACAUAAAAAAAUAAUAAAAGAUAAUUUGAAAAAGAAAAAAAAAACCCAAAUUUAUAUUUGCACAUUACUUUCGUAACGCGGAGGAAAAAAAAAAGCGCGAACGGUAUUUUCCGUCUCUCAUACUCUGCGAGUAAAAAGCAUUACCAAUUGCCAUAGGCGCUGAUCAGCAACUUCAUCUUCAUCUUCAUCUUCAUCUUCAUCUUCGGUUCAAUCGUAAUCCCAAGGGAUGCGAUAAGAUUGACGAUCGACGCGGAUUUCGAUUCAGAAGUAUCGAUCCGUUGAUGAUUAGUUGUUGGCGGCAAACUUCUGAAUCGGCACUUUUCAGAAACUUAACCAUGGCUGGAGGUUGGGCCCUGUUCGAAAAAUCAUGAUGGUUGUAAGUUAGCUAUUGCCUUCUAGGAUUUGGAUUGUUCUACUGCCAAUGGCCAAUUGUAUGGAACAGGCAGCGGCAGCAAGCAUCUGAUAUAUAAAUAUCAAGCUCUGCAACUUGAACUUCAAGAAACUUCUUCAACACAUGUAUGCUUCGCUGGGCUUUGGUCACUUGGAUAGGCAUUUUGUUUGAGAUAAAGGUGUGGGCCUUACAUAUCUUUCUGUGGAUUGGAUUAUCUAUUUUAUGUUGGUAAGCUUCCCCCUACGCUUGAUACUUUUAUUUUUAAUUUUAAAAUUAUUUCUUGAGAAUUGACUCAUCCCUAUCAAAACAGCACUGAUUACAUUCUCUAUUGUCAAAUCGUAUUUGCUUUUCUUUUUGUACAUUUACUGCACAUGAAACUUUCUUUACUUCAUAUAUUCAUGAAAAGUGCAUUUAUUUAUGCUU